GCAACUCAGUUGGUAGAGCAUGGGACUCUUAAUCUCAGGGUCAUGGGUUUGAGCCCCACAUUGGGUG